UGAGGUUUAGCUCAAUGGCAGAGUGAGUGCUUCUCUAGCACACCUGAGGCCCUGGAUUCAAUUUCUAGUACCACAA
rfam:Fukomys damarensis contig122852, whole genome shotgun sequence.